rnacentral:lncRNA from 10 species
AGCAGGACAAACAGGCCAGGUGGUGUCAGGAGCCCAGGUCUCCAGCUGGAGGGAACGUCAACCCUGCAGUGGGAGCAGGGGCCCAUCGCACAUCCUAGGCACAGAUGCUAAUGUAGGCACUGCAGACCAUAAAGGAGAACAGCAAGAGGCCCCCAGCAAACAUCCACAGAUGGCCCUGGACAUCAGCCACAUUCUGAGAAACAUGUCAUGUUCUGGGAGGGCUAAGGCAUCAACCUUACCCUGUAGGAAUUCUAGUGACUAUGUUGCCACCAUCUUGGAGCUCCAUGCCCUCAUAGUGUAAUGGCACCAGCAGAUCUGCCUGUGCAUGGACUUCCUGUACUACCUCACUCCUGAGGGGAGAUGUUUCUGCAGGGCCUAUGACCUGGUGCACAACUUUAGACACCAUCAUCCUGGAGCAGCACUGCACCCUCACUAGCCAGAGUGUUGACAUCCUCAAGGCCAGGGCCACAUUCAAGACUUUGGACUUCAUUGAUGCACUUGUGCUGAGCAAGCUUAUCUGAUCUCCUGGGAUCUCUACUAGGAUGCUGGCAGCCCAGCCAGCUGGUCUGGCCCUGGACGUGCCUUCAGGUGCUGGUUAUGCUUUAUGACCUGUGUUGUGAUCCUGGUCAGAGUAAAACAUUCCAUGGGAACUCGGGCUGUGAGAAACAUCCUAACCACCUGACUGCAGAAACAUCCUUAUCACAUCCUGCUGGGCAAGGGCCCAACAGCCUGACUUCAGGAACAUCCUUAUCAUCUUCUACUGAGCAGCAAGCUAUACUGUCCAGAGCCCUCCCUCCCAGCCCCAUGAUUACCCCAGCCUGUAAGUGGCAGUGGGCGCUGACACUAAGCUGGUUUCCCCCUCCGCAGGGUUUUGCUAGUAAUAAACCUGUGUUGCUGUUGAA